AUGGUGGGUUUUGGACUAGUCUGUCUGGGAACAUGGGUUCGGAUCAUUGCUUCAGUCACAGGAUUUUACCAAAUCAGUCUAAAAACAUCACCGUUCUCUAUUGGUGUGACGGUGUUGGUUAUCACCGGUAUUCUGAUAACACUGGCUGGUGUUCUGGGCAAUCUUGGCGCAUGUAGCUUCAAAAUAUCUGCACUUAAUGUGUUUUCUGGCCUGCUUUCCUUUCUGAUCAUCAUAAACAUUGCAGUAGGUGUGACAGCCUUCGUAAAGAGUGGACAAACGUCAGAUGAGUUGUCAGAGCUCUACCGCAAGAUCUACACUUCGCACACCAGGAGUUCCAACGAAACCAUGAUCCUCAGACUAUUACAUAAAACUGUAAGUCUCUCUCUCUCUCACACACACACACACAC